rnacentral:rRNA from 1 species
GACGAACGCUGGCGGCGUGCCUAAUACAUGCAAGUAGAACGCUGAAGGAGGAGCUUGCUUCUCUGGAUGAGUUGCGAACGGGUGAGUAACGCGUAGGUAACCUGCCUGGUAGUGGGGGAUAACUAUUGGAAACGAUAGCUAAUACCGCAUAAUAGCAGUUGUUGCAUGAUAACUGUUUGAAAGGUGCAAUUGCACCGCUACCAGAUGGACCUGCGUUGUAUUAGCUAGUUGGUGGGGUAACGGCUCACCAAGGCGACGAUACAUAGCCGACCUGAGAGGGUGAUCGGCCACACUGGGACUGAGACACGGCCCAGACGCCUACGGGAGGCAGCAGUAGGGAAUCUUCGGCAAUGGACGGAAGUCUGACCGAGCAACGCCGCGUGAGUGAAGAAGGUUUUCGGAUCGUAAAGCUCUGUUGUAAGAGAAGAACGAGUGUGAGAGUGGAAAGUUCACACUGUGACGGUAUCUUACCAGAAAGGGACGGCUAACUACGUG